AAAAAUAAAAAUAAAAGUAGGUUCUGUUUGAAUUUUCAUCUAAAAAGCUUGCACUAUUUUAAAAAUAAUCAAGACCUAGUUUUUAAAAGUCACCUUGUUUAGCUCUAUUUGAGCUAACACUAAAUAUGAUACUUUCUUUCCAACAUCAAGUAUUAUCCUAACAAUUAUAGUCGUCUAUUGUUUUAGAAUUGAAGAAAGUAUUUCCUCGAUAAGAUAACAUCUUAUUAAUAUGGUAACCUCAUUACAUUGGGGUGCUAUCUCUGUUGUACAUAACUUGCCCUAGGUCAUCUAAUUACAACAUGUGGACAUGGGGUCCCUUGGCCACACAUUUGAUAAAAAGUAUUUAAAAUACUUGGAAGUCACACCCAAACUAGAAUCAAGUAAGACUCAGAACUGAGUUUUCUGAGGUACUACGAUGGCUGGGAAUGGGUAGGGGUGGAUAUAAGCAUAUAAAAUUUAGCGUUAAAGUCAAGCAUCUAGACAGGUUCUUUUUUCUGUAAGUCUUCGGGUUUGUUAGAGUUUCCCAUAUUUUAUAUUUCUUUUGAAUUACAAUCUCAUUUCAAAAAUAAAAUAAUUUGAAUAAACUUAUGUUUUUUCAAAGUGUCCAUUUCUAAAUCAAAACUAGACCCCAGCUUUGAAUAUGAACUCUAAGCAAUCUUGAAUCUACCUCUUGCCUUUGAAUUCACCAAGGAAACAAAGUCUAGAUUCAGUCUGAGACUAAUUUUAUGAUUCUGUGGGUUUUUCUUUCUUUUUUUUUUUUCUUUUUUUGUCAAAAUGUUGAGAUACAGAUCGCUAAGGAUCCAGAUACAGAUUUAGGGUAAAGAAAUGAAAGAUCCGAAAACUAGAAUUUGCUAGGCAGGCUAGUGGGAGGGUCCUUUUGUGAUGAAAUGUUGCAUAAAUAAUGCCGAUGGGGGUCUAAAUUCACUGUUGCCAUGGAGACCUUUGUGCCUGGCUGAACUCAAUUCUUUUCUCUUUUAAGACUGCUACCACUAGGCUUGUGGUGUCUCUGAUGCCUCUUUGCUUUGCUUUCUCUUAAACUGUUGGCGAGUGAAAGAAGAAAUUAAACUAUGAUAAUUUGGCAUCCUGACUUUUGCGAGACUGUUCUUCCACUCCAUUCGUGAUUUUUGAGCUCCUCUGGGGUUCCUUUUAGCCCUGGCUCGGGGAGGGAGGAGCAGGUGCAGAAACGGCUGAAACCCCCGAACGCUGCCUGGAAAGAGGGAAAAGUAACCCCUCAUCUUUGUGACUAGGCGACUUGUUGGCCUCGGCUACAGUUUUGAAGUAUUUAAGGACCAUUUGUUUCCAAAGUACCUUAUAUUCAGCAAAUCGAUGUUGAGUUCCUCCCUGGUACUAAACAUUGUAUGCCAUGAACAAAAAGGAAAGAGGAAGUUCCCAGAGUCCAUGAACUAAAAAAUCUGGUGCAGAUGAAGAUAUGAGAACUCGUAACUGUAAUGCAGUAAAAAUUACUGCUGUAAUGGAGCCUGGCCAAGGAGAGCCAGAAACACUGCUGAACUUGAUACAGUACAUUAAAAUAUGAUUAUUUGAUCUUCCCAAACCAAAACGAGGAAAGAAUCAGUGACGUGCACAAUAUAAUUGUUAAAGCAUGACUGUGAAGAUAGUUUUUAAAUAGUAGCCAGAGAAAUCCUCUGGAAACGUCAAUCCUAACAUUUAAAAAGUUUCGACUAUUUUUAGUCUAAAAUUUUACUAUAUGCAGAGUCAAAGUCAAAGACCAUGCAGUCGCCCAAGCCCCUCAAUCGUGUGUCUCCUACCACCCCUGGCUCUCCCACCUUUCCUAAAUUGUAACCUCUUGCCCACUUUGCUCCAGCAUAGAACCUCCUUGCCAUUUGUAGAACCAUCACAUGGCCUUGGCACUUGCCAUUCUUCUCUGCUGAAAACAGAAAACAGCAGCCCCCAACCAGAAUCCAGCCCAGAUAUACACGUGCCCCCUUCCCCUCGUGUCUCUCAGGUCUCUGAUCAGAGGUCACCUUAUCGAUGAGUCAGGUCUUGAUAACCAUUGCCUCCCUGUCUUCUUUUCCUGCAUUAUUUUUCUCCUCCACCUUUACCACAGAUGGUACUCGAAGUAACCCAUUGGUCCAUCUUGUUCCACGUCCAUUUGUUUCUACCAGAACGUGAACUCCAUAAGAACAGGGAUUUUUGUCUAACAUUUUUACUGAUGCAUUCCCAGCACCUAGACCCUCGCGUGCCUUAUUUAUUGAACAAAUGAUGAACUAAAUAUAAAUUUCCUGGCACCAAAUAUACAGUGUUCUACUUUGGUGUUGUUGUUGUUUUUCGAUUUUUUAAAAUAAAGUAGAAAUUUUCAAAUUUA